GAUCAGAUCUCAAAUCUCAAAUGGGAGGCCUCCUUCCCCGUCAAGCCAUCCUCCAAUGCUCCGCCCCUCGCUUCACUGCUCGAACCAUCUCUACCUUAAGCUGCCCGCCUACGGAGCGUCGGCUGGUUCGAUAAGAUCAAGGUCGUCUUCAUCGGCAAGCCCUCGUCGGACCUCCAAAACCUCCUCCUCUCUCAUUGAUGGAGAAGGCAAGGACGCUGGGAUCGUUCAAGAGGUUCGAGGUGGGCCGGUGCGGCGAGGCUACCGUCUCCGACGCGUUCAAACAGCAUUCUGCGAUCCUCCGUUACGUCGGGGUCGUCGAUCCCUUUGCUGAGAUCUCAUUGAAGCCAACCGAGGAAUCAAUCAGGAAGUACAAGGCACAUUAUAUUGUGGAUGACAGAGUUCAGUAUGGAAUGAUGCUUGUAGCUGAGGGCCCAUGGUAUGAACUAUGAAGUUUAUUUGGACAAUUUGAGACUGUAUUCACUUGUGUUGUUGCUUGGGUUUCUUGAUGUUUACUAAUUUCUUGCAGCACAUGAAUGAUGGUUUCCUAUGGAAACUCUUGUCUUCGAUCUCCAGUUCAGCUCCUCUGAAUGUACCAUCACGAACCAUACAGCAUAUGGUUCCACAACAUGAAGGUGCUGUGGAAUGACUUGAAACAGAAAGAAGCUUGCAGAUCGAAUCCGUCCGGGAAGGUUGCAAACCUGUUGCUAUUUCAGGGUUGAACUGGUGCAAGUGCGAGGUUAGUCGAAAUUACAAGUGAAUGCUUCAAUUGUAGGUUUCAGAAGUUCAAAAUCAGGUGAACUUGUAUUUAUCAUGAAGCAAAAGUAAAGGCGGAUAAUUAGUUCAAAUUU